GCACAAGCAGUGGAGUAUGUGGUUUAAUUCGAAGCAACGCGAAGAACCUUACCAGGUCUUGACAUCGGAUGCAUACCUAAGAGAUUAGGGAAGUCCUUCGGGACAUCCAGACAGGUGGUGCAUGGUUGUCGUCAGCUCGUGUCGUGAGAUGUUGGGUUAAGUCCCGCAACGAGCGCAACCCUUAUUGCCAGUUACUACGCAAGAGGACUCUGGCGAGACUGCCGUUGACAAAACGGAGGAAG
rnacentral:rRNA from 1 species